rnacentral:rRNA from 1 species
GGGCAGCGCUUUGGAAUCCGAUUAAGGGCAUGCGAGUCGAGAGGGGUAAGCCCUCGGCGCAGGGCUGAGUAACACGCGGAUAAUCUGCCCUAAGGUGGGGGAUAACCUCGGGAAACUGAGAAUAAUACUCCAUAGGUCUGGAAUGCUGGAAUGCUUCCAGGCUGAAAGCCCCGGCGCCUUAGGAUGAGUCUGCGGCCUAUCAGGUUGUAGUGGGUGUAACGGACCCACUAGCCUACGACGGGUAGGGGCGUUGAGAGACGGAGCCCCCAGAUGGAUUCUGAGACACGAAUCCAGGUCCUACGGGGCUCAGCAGCUGCGAAACCUUCGCAAUGUGGGAAGCCAAGACGAGGGGAUUCCAAGUGCUAAUGCAUUGCAUUAGCUGUUCUCCUGUCUAAAAAACAGGGGGAGUAAGGGCUGGGUAAGACGGGUGCCAGCCGCCGCGGUAUUACCCGCAGCCCGAGUGGUGCUCGAUUUUAUUGAGCUUAAAGCGUACGUAGCCGGUCUUGUAAAUCCUUGGGGAAAUCGGGCAGCUUAACUGUUCGAAGUCCGAGGAGACUGCAAGACUUGGGAUCGGGAGAGGUCAGAAGUACCUUUGGGGUAGGGGUAAAAUCCUGUAAUCCUAAAGGGACUACCAGUGGCGAAGGCGUCUGACUAGAACGAAUCCGACGGUGAGGAGCGAAGCCCUGGGGCGCAAACGGGAUUAGAUACCCCGGUAGUCCCAGGGUGUAAACGCUGCGGGCUUGGUGUCGGGGGUCCUACGGAGGCGCCCGGUGCCGGAGAGAAAUUGUUAAGCCUUCCGCUUGGGGAGUACGGUCGCAAGACUGAAACUUAAAGGAAUUGGCGGGGGAGCACCGCAACGGGAGGAGCGUGCGGUUC